rnacentral:rRNA from 1 species
UACGGGGGGGGCAAGCGUUGUUCGGAUUUACUGGGCGUAAAGGGCGCGUAGGCGGCCACCGCAAGUCGACUGUGAAAUCUCCGGGCUUAACCCGGAAAGGUCAGCCGAUACUGCGGGGCUAGAGUGCAGAAGGGGCAACUGGAAUUCUCGGUGUAGCGGUGAAAUGCGCAGAUAUCAGGAGGAACACCGGUGGCGAAGGCGGCUUGCUGGGCCAGUUCUGACGCUGAGGAGCGAAAGCGUGGGGAGCGAACAGG